rnacentral:rRNA from 1 species
AGAGUUUGAUCCUGGCUCAGGAUGAACGCUGGCGGCGUGCCUAACACAUGCAAGUCGAACGAAGCCUUCGGGCUUAGUGGCGGACGGGUGAGUAACGCGUGAGAAUCUCCCUUCAGGAUGGGGACAACCGUUGGAAACGACGGCUAAUCCCCAAUGUGCCGAGAGGUGAAAGGGUUUCCGCCUGAAGAAGAGCUCGCGUCCGAUUAGUUAGUUGGUGAGGUAAGAGCUCACCAAGGCAGCGAUCGGUAGCUGGUCUGAGAGGAUGAGCAGCCACACUGGGACUGAGACACGGCCCAGACUCCUACGGGAGGCAGCAGUGGGGAAUUUUCCGCAAUGGGCGAAAGCCUGACGGAGCAACGCCGCGUGUGGGAAGAAGGCUCUUGGGCUGUCAACCACUUUUCUCAGGGAAGAAGUUCUGACGGUACCUGAGGAAUCAGCCUCGGCUAACUCCGUGCCAGCAGCCGCGGUAAUACGGAGGAGGCAAGCGUUAUCCGGAAUUAUUGGGCGUAAAGCGUCCGCAGGGGGCGCAUCAAGUCUGCUGUUAAAGGCUGGAGCUUAACUCCGGUAGAGCAGUGGAAACUGGUGCGCUAGAGGGCGACAGGGGUAGAGGGAAUUCCCAGUGUAGCGGUGAAAUG